GCAGUAGCCACGGUAAUACGUAGGUGGCAAGCGUUGUCCGGAUUUAUUGGGCGUAAAGCGAGCGCAGGCGGUUAGAUAAGUCUGAAGUUAAGGGCUGUGGCUUAACCAUAGUACGCUUUGGAAACUGUUUAACUUGAGUGCAAGAGGGGAGAGUGGAAUUCCAUGUGUAGCGGUGAAAUGCGUAGAUAUAUGGAGGAACACCGGUGGCGAAAGCGGCUCUCUGGCUUGUAACUGACGCUGAGGCUCGAAAGCGUGGGGAGCAAACAGGAUUAGAUACCCCUGUAGUCCCUGUCUCUUAUACC
rnacentral:rRNA from 1 species